UACGGAGGGUGCAAGCGUUAUCCGGAUUUACUGGGCUUAAAGGGUGCGCAGGCGGCUAUGUAAGUCCGUGGUGAAAUCUCCGGGCUUAACCCGGAAACUGCCGUUGAUACUAUAUAUCUUGAAUGCCGUGGAGGUAAGCGGAAUAUGUCAUGUAGCGGUGAAAUGCUCAGAUAUGACAUAGAACACCUAUUGCGAAGGCAGCUUACUACACGGAGAUUGACGCUCAUGCACGAAAGCGUGGGGAUCAAACAGG
rnacentral:rRNA from 1 species